UGGAAUCCAUGACAACUGGCAACAAAUGGGACACGCGAAUUUACGAGCGCAUGUGCUUGAUGUGUCUUAUAUAUGAAUCGCAAGAGGCAAUGCAAGACAUGGAAUAAUUGAACUUAAGGCCUACUGCCUUUGAUGGCUAUUUUGGCACUCAAUAAAUCAUGCAGGGAAUGGGACAAUUAAACUCAAUAGUUUCAAGUUGUGAUGAAUAUUACAGCAACAACAUAACAUGCAAUGGCUGGGACAACUGAACUCAAUUGCAUCAAUCCAUGAUGCCCAUUUACUAACUCAACAAAGGUUGCAUGAGA